UUAAACAGCAAUUUUAGGAUUCACCCGGGGUUCACUCUAGAGCAAGGCGAUUGAGAAGUCUUCUUAUCUCUUUAACUAACUCCUCUACACAUUAAAAGUCUUCUUAUCUAUCUAAAUUAUGAAGUUUUAGACUACAGAACUCGAACUCUAAGCACAAGCAUCACAUCCUAACAUCGUGCGGAUGAUUUUUAUAUGAACAUUUCUUCAAGAAAAAGAUAGUCAAAUUUCCUGUCUUCACUU
rnacentral:lncRNA from 1 species